rnacentral:sRNA from 1 species
GGUCUCACCUUGUUGCCCAAGCUGGAGUGCAGUUGCCUGAUCUCAGCUCACUGCAACCUCCACCUCCCAGGCUCAAGCUAUCCUCCUGCCUCAGCCUUCCAAGUAGCUGGGACCACAGGUGUGCACCAUCACGCCCAGAUGGAGUGUCGCUCUCUCGCCCAGGCUGGAGUGCAGUGGCGCUAUCUCGGCUCACUGCAACCUCUGCUUCCCAGGUUCAAGUGAUUAUCCUGCCUCAGCCUCCCAAGUUGCUGGGAUUAGAGGCGUGUGCCACCAUGCCUGGCUAAUUUACUAAACUAAUAAAUUACUAAAUUAGUAAGUUACUAGUAAAUUAGUAAUUACUAAAAUAUAAUUUUUAGUAGAGAUGGGGUUUCAUCAUGUUGGCCAGGCUGGUCAUGAACUCCUGACCUCAAUGGAUCCUCCUGCCUCAGCUUCCUGAGUAGCUGGGACCACAGGUGCACACCACCAUGCCCAGGUAAUUAAUUUUUAUUUUUUGUAGAGUCGGGGUCUCCCUAUGUUUCCCAGGCUGGC